GCCACACAGAUGCAUGGCUGAGAAGAUCCACCACUGAUACCUCCCUCUGAAAAAGCUCAGAGGCAAGGCUUGCAUAAGGAGCAGAAAGAGCAUGGCAAAGACCCUGCAUCCAAGCCAGCAAUGUACAGUGGAGUUUUCCAGAAGCUACAUGGGGGAUGUGUAAUAUCACAGUAGAUUGAAUGCAGAAGCUGAC